rnacentral:lncRNA from 1 species
GAAAAUAAAAAAUACUUCAGGAUGGGUUUUUUCUUUUGUUUGAAAGGAGGAGUGUUACAGUUCAUGGAAAAACUUGCAAGUUACUUUGGGUCUAGACUCGGUAACUUCUUAAAACAUUUUGGGAUGUUUGCGCAACCUAGAUAAAAAGCAUACUUUAUCAGCAAAACCACUCACUAAGACUGAAGAACCAGUUCUAAACUUCUGUCACUUAGGAAUGAGCAGCACCAAACCUGUGGUUUGAACGAAAACUUCUCUGCAACCUUAAGUUUAACUUUCAAACAUCUUAAGGUCAAUAGAAAAUGUGUUGUAAUUUGGAAACUGGUAUGCCUCUUCAAGCUAGAAUAAGCUGUGCUAUGAAUGUUCACAGAAAGAAGCAGAGCUGGUAUAGAGUGUUUCAGUUCUCAAAGAAGUUCUUCUCUGGGGUACUCAGUAUAUUGAAGACAUGAUAACAAAUAUCCAGGGUCUUAGAGGACUCUAGAAGAGCAAGUCAUCCCUUAAACUCCACGUAACACCAAGAAGUUCAUGGAAAGUCAGGGUCUAGACCAGAUUACAUCUCAGAAAAAUGAGCUGUACUGAGUUUGGAAAAAUCAGUCACAAAUCAGUUCAUUGUUUGUAUAUAAAGAACAAUCACUAUCUGUCUGGAGACUUAAGUUACUGUGAAAUUUUGGAUCAGCAUGUGAUCUGUCAAUCUACUUCCUAAGUUUUUUUUGCUAAAAUAUGGUCUCCAAAUGGGUUGCUCAGAGAUGGACAAAAUAAAUUUGAUUUUUGGAGGAACUGUUGCA